rnacentral:tRNA from 1 species
CAAGGCGGAAGCNGCGGGUUCGAGCCCCGUCAGUCCCG